rnacentral:rRNA from 1 species
CGGACGGGUGAGUAACGCGUGGGGAACCUGCCCUGUACAGGGGGAUAACACUUAGAAAUAGGUGCUAAUACCGCAUAAGCGCACAGUAUCGCAUGAUACAGUGUGAAAAACUCCGGUGGUACAGGAUGGACCCGCGUCUGAUUAGCUGGUUGGCGGGGUAACGGCCCACCAAGGCGACGAUCAGUAGCCGGCCUGAGAGGGCGGACGGCCACAUUGGGACUGAGACACGGCCCAGACUCCUACGGAAGGCAGCAG